GAUGAACGCUGGCGGCGUGCCUAAUACAUGCAAGUCGAGCGAACGGACGAGAAGCUUGCUUCUCUGAUGUUAGCGGCGGACGGGUGAGUAACACGUGGAUAACCUACCUAUAAGACUGGGAUAACUUCGGGAAACCGGAGCUAAUACCGGAUAAUAUUUUGAACCGCAUGGUUCAAAAGUGAAAGACGGUCUUGCUGUCACUUAUAGAUGGAUCCGCGCUGCAUUAGCUAGUUGGUAAGGUAACGGCUUACCAAGGCAACGAUGCAUAGCCGACCUGAGAGGGUGAUCGGCCACACUGGAACUGAGACACGGUCCAGACUCCUACGGGAGGCAGCAGUAGGGAAUCUUCCGCAAUGGGCGAAAGCCUGACGGAGCAACGCCGCGUGAGUGAUGAAGGUCUUCGGAUCGUAAAACUCUGUUAUUAGGGAAGAACAUAUGUGUAAGUAACUGUGCACAUCUUGACGGUACCUAAUCAGAAAGCCACGGCUAACUACGUGCCAGCAGCCGCGGUAAUACGUAGGUGGCAAGCGUUAUCCGGAAUCAUUGGGCGUAAAGCGCGCGUAGGCGGUUUUUUAAGUCUGAUGUGAAAGCCCACGGCUCAACCGUGGAGGGUCAUUGGAAACUGGAAAACUUGAGUGCAGAAGAGGAAAGUGGAAUUCCAUGUGUAGCGGUGAAAUGCGCAGAGAUAUGGAGGAACACCAGUGGCGAAGGCGACUUUCUGGUCUGUAACUGACGCUGAUGUGCGAAAGCGUGGGGAUCAAACAGGAUUAGAUACCCUGGUAGUCCACGCCGUAAACGAUGAGUGCUAAGUGUUAGGGGGUUUCCGCCCCUUAGUGCUGCAGCUAACGCAUUAAGCACUCCGCCUGGGGAGUACGACCGCAAGGUUGAAACUCAAAGGAAUUGACGGGGACCCGCACAAGCGGUGGAGCAUGUGGUUUAAUUCGAAGCAACGCGAAGAACCUUACCAAAUCUUGACAUCCUUUGACAACUCCAGAGAUAGAGCCUUCCCCUUCGGGGGACAAAGUGACAGGUGGUGCAUGGUUGUCGUCAGCUCGUGUCGUGAGAUGUUGGGUUAAGUCCCGCAACGAGCGCAACCCUUAAGCUUAGUUGCCAUCAUUAAGUUGGGCACUCUAAGUUGACUGCCGGUGACAAACCGGAGGAAGGUGGGGAUGACGUCAAAUCAUCAUGCCCCUUAUGAUUUGGGCUACACACGUGCUACAAUGGACAAUACAAAGGGCAGCGAAACCGCGAGGUCAAGCAAAUCCCAUAAAGUUGUUCUCACUUCGGAUUGUAGUCUGCAACUCGACUACAUGAAGCUGGAAUCGCUAGUAAUCGUAGAUCAGCAUGCUACGGUGAAUACGUUCCCGGGUCU
rnacentral:rRNA from 1 species